UAAAAGUACUUACCAACACCCCCACCCACUUUUAAUAAAACCCGUAUCCUCUCUAUCAUUUUUUUCUAUGUGAAAGCUCGUAAAUCCAAAAUAAUGGACUCUUUCAUAUUCUCUCUCAAGAUCUGGAAUCUCAAUCAAAAUCUAUGCAUAAGAACUUGCUUGAUUUUAGCAUUUCAUAAGACCAAGACAAGUUCAUCUUAAAGAAAAAUUUAUCGCAUUUUUGGAACUUCUACAGAAUUUUGAAAGAGAUUCGAGG